rnacentral:rRNA from 1 species
CAAGGGGAUCCACUAUCACCAUACUUAUUCCUCUUUGUGGCUGAAGCAUUGUCGUUGCUACUUAAUGAUGCUUCGGCAAGAGGGGCUAUUCAAGAGUUCCGGCUAAACAGACAUGCCCCAGGUAUAUCUCAUCUCCUUUUUGCUGAUGAUAGUCUCCUGUUUUUUAAGGGUAACUUGGAGCAAGCUCUGAAUAUUAAAGGCAUUUUGUCGGCUUAUGAGGAGGGAACUGGCCAACUAUUAAGUCCGGAUAAAUGCUCCAUAUUAUUUGGCAAAAAUUGUUCUAUGGAAGACCAGGUGUCUAUUCUGGUUAUCCUUAAAAUCACGAUUGAUGGUUUUGAGGAUAAAUAUCUAGGCUUGCCUAUUCCAGAAGGUCGUAUGAAGGCAGGUAAGUUUCAAUCCACCAAAGAUAAGGUGCUCAAGCGGGUUUCAGAUUAUAUUGAAAAAUAUGCUUCGAGCGGAGCGAAAGAAAUCCAGAUCAAGUCUGUUAUUCAAGCUAUUCCCGUGUUUGCA